rnacentral:misc_RNA from 1 species
GUGUGGAAGGGUUCAAGCUUUAUGGGGAAGCUUUUCAACACAGCUCAAGUAUGGCUCAAGUUCAUCAGAAGAGCACCAAUUUGUCCGAGGUAUCCCAAUAUAUAAAAUAAGCCAACUCGUUGACAGGAUUACUUCUGGCACUGAGGGACUGCCUCGUCUUAUAAAUGGUUUGCGAAGACCUAUGCCUUGCAUAAGGAUAUUAGAAGUUGAACUUUACCCUACUUUG